rnacentral:lncRNA from 1 species
GGCUCAUUUGAAGGAGCAUCUCCACAAAGAAAACCUUUAUAGCAGGAGCUAAGUGCGGCAUCCACGAGCGGCAUCUGGCAGUUUGUGAUACAGAGCAAAUAAGAAGUACAGGACAGAGAAAAGCCUUCUAGGAAGCAUGGUUGAAACAGAUUGACAAAGGAGAAAAUUGUCAGUCCAGACUGCUUAAACAGGUACUGUAAUUCUGUAUAGACUGUGAAC